CAGAGAUGCUUUGGUGCCUUCGGGAACUCUGAGACAGGUGCUGCAUGGCUGUCGUCAGCUCGUGGUGUGAAAUGUUGGGUUAAGUCCCGCAACGAGCGCAACCCUUAUCCUUUGUUGCCAGCGGUCCGGCCGGGAACUCAAAGGAGACUGCCAGUGAUAAACUGGAGGAAGGUGGGGAUGACGUCAAGUCAUCAUGGCCCUUACGAGUAGGGCUACACACGUGCUACAAUGGCGCAUACAAAGAGAAGCGACCUCGCGAGAGCAAGCGGACCUCAUAAAGUGCGUCGUAGUCCGGAUUGGAGUCUGCAACUCGACUCCAUGAAGUCGGAAUCGCUAGUAAUCGUAGAUCAGAAUGCUACGGUGAAUACGUUCCCGGGUCUUGUACACACCG
rnacentral:rRNA from 1 species